GAGUUUAAAUAGUGUUUUAUAUGACUCUGAAAUCGUGGUAUCUUCGCAAAAGCAGAAUUUUCUUCUGUUAAUCAAAUCUAAUUUAUCAAUUAAAGAAAUUUUUUUUCUAUCUAAGAAACCUUUGCCUACCCAAUGUUGUGGAGAUUUUCUCUCACGUCUUCUUCUAGAAGUUUUAUAGUUUUCACUUUCAUGUUUAGGUCUAUGAUCCAUUUGGAGUUAGUGUUUAUAAAUGGUAUGAGGUAAGGGUCAAGAUUCAUUUUUUUCUAAAUGGAUCUUCAGUUGUUCCAGGACCAUUUAUUGAAAACACUUUUCUUUCCCCACUGAAUUACAUUGGCACCUUUGCCAAGAAUUAUUUGACCGUACACGUGGGGGUCUAUUUUUGGACUAUUCUGUUCCAUUGAUCUAUGUGUCUAUCUUUACACCAACGCCACAUUGUUUUGAUUUCUGCAGUUUUAUAGUAAGUCUUAAAAUCAGGUAGCGUAGGUCCUCUAACUUUUUUAUUCCUCUCUCAAGAUUCUAAGAUCAUUGCAUUUCCACAUAUGUUUUAAAAUCAGCUUGUCAAAAAAAAGUCUUGCUAGGAUUUUGAAUCGCGUUGCAUUGAAUAGAAAGAUCAUUUGGGGGAGAAUGGACAUCCUAACAAUAUUGAACAAUCCAUGAACAGAAUACACCUAUUUAUUGAGAUCUUUAAUUUCUCUCAGCAAUGUUUUCUAGUUUUCAGAGUACAUGAGACCUGCACAUUUCUCAUUAAGUGUAUUCUGAAAUGUUUUAUGCUUUUUGAGGUUACUGUAAAUGGUAUUUUUAAACAUUUUCUAAUUGUUCGUUGCUCUGAUCUUUCAUUCCAGCCUUUCAGUAAACUGGUCUCUCAGUUCCGCCACUUUUUUCUGCUCCCACGUCAGUUCUGCGUCUGGUUUGGUUUCACUUAGAACAGUGCAAUGUUGGAUUGGAAUGAGGGAUGAGAGCUCGGGAGGAAUUGACGGUGACCCAGGUUUGCAUCCUGGAUGACUUUGCUUGGAGUUUCCUUGGCUCACGACUCGCCAGGCUUCAUUCAUAGAGUACCCUAUCCUAGGUGCUAUGCUAAUUGCCAGUGAUAUGACUCACAGGCCCUGCCUCCAGGAGCCCAGAGAGCAGUAGGGGCAAAUUACAAGUGAAAAGGUGAUGGUACUGUUUAGCUUGUGGCUCCCUUCCACCCUACCUCAAUUCAGCAAAUACUGCAGGCACCUACUAUGUGUAAGUUGCCACACUAUGUGCUGGUGUGUAGUUGCAUUGCCUUUCGCUGUUUACAAAGCACUUUCCUACACAUGAUCGCAAUUUAGUGGUUCUGAGAAUAGUCUUUGAGUCAGAAAGACCAAAGUGAGGAUGGAUUCAUCCACUUAUCUGUGUGACCUUAGGCAAGUCAUUUCCUCUAAGACUCAACGUCCUCUUCUAUAAAAUGGUAAUAAUAGGGGGGCUGGCCUGGUGGCACAGCGGUUAAGUGCACACGUUCUGCUUUGGCGGCCAGGGGUUCGCUGGUUUGGAUCCCAGGGGCAGACAUGGCACCACUUGGCAAGCCAUGCUAUGGUAGGCAUCCCAUAUAUAAAGUAGAGGAAGAUGGGCACGGAUGUUAGCUCAGAGCCAGUCUUCCUCAGCAAAAAGAGGAGGAUUGGCCUCAGAUGUUAGCUCAGGGCUAAUCUGCCUCAAAAAAAAAAAAAAAAGGUAAUAAUAGAAGAUCCUAGCUCAAAAGACUGUUGGGAAGAAUAAUAAGAUAAUACAGGAAAAUUGUUUAGCAUAUAACCUUCACUGAGCAGCUAUUAUGUUCCAGGUGCUGAAGACCCAUAGUGACCAAAAGAGCGUUUAGAUACAAAAGAGAACGGAGUCCUCAGAAAAGGAAGAGGAGCCACCAAAGGGGACUCAGAGGACAUCUGAGCACUGAGAGAAAGUGCUAUCAUGAAAGCCAAGAGAGGCGCAUCAGAGAGGAGAGUGGCCAACUGUAGCAAACACCGAGAGGUCAGCAGUAAGAUGAAGCCCCGAAGGGAUCAUUGGCUUCUGAAACAUGGAGUUUCCAGAUCGACAGGUGGAGGCAGGAGCCUGACCCAGACUGAUCUGAGGAGAAAUUGGAGUUGAUGUGCAAACAGCAACUGCAGAGAACUCACAAAGUUUUGACGUGAAGGGGAGCAAAAAAAUGAGGGAGGUGGCUGGACGGAGAUGUGGGAUCAAGGCGAUUUUUGUUGUUCAAACUUUGUUUUUAGGAUACGGGAUACUGGGGCAUGUUAUCUUAAGCAGGUGGGAAUGAUCUGGUAUAGAAGGAGAAACUGAUGACUAAGGAGAGAGGGGUCCAGG
rnacentral:lncRNA from 1 species